AUGCUGGUUUGCUGUUGCUUUGUUGUGUCCCAGCUGCUCAUCGUAAUAACACUCAUAUACCUUGCCAUUACCAAGAGCAAGGUACGCUGUGGCACGUGCUCAUCGGCGACGGUGUCGCUUCCACUUCCGCCGGGGCCAUGGCCGUGGCCAGUGGUGGGUAGCCUGCCCGAGAUGGUGGUCAACAAGCCGGCGUUUCGAUGGAUCCAUCGCGUGAUGAAGGAUAUGGGCACCGACAUCGCCUGCUUCCGCCUCGGCGGCGUCCACGUCGUCCCGAUCACAUGUCCCAAGAUCGCAAGGGAGGUGCUCAAGAAGCAGGACAAAAACUUCUCGUCCCGCCCACUCACCUUCGCCUCCGGCGCCAUCAGCAGCGGGUACAAGGACGCCGUGCUCUCACCGUUCGGUGACCAGUGGAUGAAGAUGCGCAAGGUGCUCACCUCUGAGAUCAUCUGCCCCUCCCGUCACAAGUGGCUCCACGACAAGCGCGCCGACGAAGCUGACAACUUGACGCGCUACAUCUACAACCUCACCGCCCGGGGGUUGUCAUCUUCAACGUCGGGACUAGCCAACGUCAACGUCAGGCACGUCGCGCGGCAUUACUGCGGCAACGUCAUCCGCCGGCUUGUCUUCGGCCAACGGUACUUCGGGGAGCCUCAGCCGGACGGCGGGCCGGGGCCGAUGGAGGUGGAGCACAUGGACGCUUCCUUCGCCCUCCUAGGGUUCACCUUCGCGUUCUGCGUCAGCGACUACCUCCCGUGUCUACUUGGCCUAGAUCUCGACGGUCACGAGAAAAUUAUUAAGGAGACCAACACAAAAGUGGAUAGACUGCACGACGUGGACUUCCUUGACGUUCUCAUCACGCUCGCCGACGGUGACGGCAAGCCGUUGCUCAACAUCAAUGAGGUCAAAGCACAGUCCAAGGGCAUAAUAUUAGCGUCCAUAGAUAACCCGUCAAACGCAGUGGAGUGGGCGCUGGCGGAGAUGGUGAACAACCCAGAAUUGCUGGCCAAGGCGGUGGAGGAGAUGGACCGGGUGGUCGGUCGCGAGCGACCGGUGCAAGAGUCGGACAUCAUGCAGCUCAACUAUCUCAAGGCGUGCAUACGUGAGGCAUUUCGCCUCCACCCAAUCGCUCCCUUCAACCUGCCGCACGUCGCGAUUGUCGACACCAUUGUUGCGGGCUACCGCGUGCCCAAGGGUAGCAACGUCAUCCUCAGCCGGCUGGCCCUGGGCCGGAACCCCACUGUCUGGGAUGAACCGCUCCGCUUCAAGCCGGAGCGCCAUAUGGGAGACAACAUCAAUGUGGUGCUUACUGAGAGCGAAUUGCGGUUCAUCUCCUUCAGCACCGGACGACGGGGAUGCAUCGCGACAUCACUAGGAACAACCAUGAGUGUCAUGCUCUUUGGCAGGCUCCUGCAUGGCUUCACCUGGACCAAACCGGCUGGGGUGUCGGCCAUCAAUCUCAGCGAGUCCAAGCACGACCUCUUCAUAGAGAAGCCGUUAGUGCUACAUGCUGAGCCACGUCUUCCAGUGCACCUCUACCCUCUCAUGCAUUAUUGA
rnacentral:rRNA from 1 species